rnacentral:rRNA from 1 species
GGCCAGCUUGGCGUUGGUUGUCCAAGUUUUAAGGUGGUAGGCUGAAAUCUUAGGUAAAUCCGGGGUUUCAAGGCCGAGAGCUGAUGACGAGUCGUCUUUUAGAUGACGAAGUGGUUGAUGCCAUGCUUCCAAGAAAAGCUUCUAAGCUUCAGGUAACCAGGAACCGUACCCCAAACCGACACAGGUGGUCGGGUAGAGAAUACCAAGGCGCUUGAGAGAACUCGGGUGAAGGAACUAGGCAAAAUGGCACCGUAACUUCGGGAGAAGGUGCGCCGGCUAGGGUGAAGGAUUUACUCCGUAAGCUCUGGCUGGUCGAAGAUACCAGGCCGCUGCGACUGUUUAUUAAAAACACAGCACUCUGCAAACACGAAAGUGGACGUAUAGGGUGUGACGCCUCCCCGGUGCCGGAAGGUUAAUUGAUGGGGUUAGCGCAAGCGAAGCUCUUGAUCGAAGCCCCGGUAAACGGCGGCCGUAACUAUAACGGUCCUAAGGUAGCGAAAUUCCUUGUCGGGUAAGUUCCGACCUGCACGAAUGGCGUAACGAUGGCGGCGCUGUCUCCACCCGAGACUCAGUGAAAUUGAAAUCGCUGUGAAGAUGCAGUGUAUCCGCGGCUAGACGGAAAGACCCCGUGAACCUUUACUGUAGCUUUGCACUGGACUUUGACCCUGCUUGUGUAGGAUAGGUGGGAGGCUUUGAAGCGUGGACGCCAGUUCGCGUGGAGCCAUCCUUGAAAUACCACCCUGGCAUGCUUGAGGUUCUAACUCUGGUCCGUAAUCCGGAUCGAGGACAGUGUAUGGUGGGCAGUUUGACUGGGGCGGUCUCCUCCUAAAGAGUAACGGAGGAGUACGAAGGUGCGCUCAGACCGGUCGGAAAUCGGUCGCAGAGUAUAAAGGCAAAAGCGCGCUUGACUGCGAGACAGACACGUCGAGCAGGUACGAAAGUAGGUCUUAGUGAUCCGGUGGUUCUGUAUGGAAGGGCCAUCGCUCAACGGAUAAAAGGUACUCCGGGGAUAACAGGCUGAUACCGCCCAAGAGUUCAUAUCGACGGCGGUGUUUGGCACCUCGAUGUCGGCUCAUCACAUCCUGGGGCAGAAGCCGGUCCCAAGGGUAUGGCUGUUCGCCAUUUAAAGUGGUACGCGAGCUAGGUUUAGAACGUCGUGAGACAGUUCGGUCCCUAUCUGCCGUGGACGUUUGAGAUUUGAGAGGGGCUGCUCCUAGUACGAGAGGACCGGAGUGGACGAACCUCUGGUGUUCCGGUUGUCACGCCAGUGGCAUUGCCGGGUAGCUAUGUUCGGAAAAGAUAACCGCUGAAAGCAUCUAAGCGGGAAACUUGCCUCAAGAUGAGAUCUCACUGGGAACUUGAUUCCCCUGAAGGGCCGUCGAAGACUACGACGUUGAUAGGCUGGGUGUGUAAGCGUUGUGAGGCGUUGAGCUAACCAGUACUAAUUGCCCGUGAGGCUUGACC